CCCCGUCUUUCCUUUCCUUGCACACAAAACCAAGGGGAGAGAUUUGCGGAGCACUGCAGUUGAAGAGAACUUUGCUUCUGGUGGUGAGUCUAUCAAAGAUGCAUCAGAACUGAAUAUUGGCUUCUCAUCGUGGCGUCAGUGGGACUGAAGAGAAAGGAUUUGGAGUUUCAAGGCAAACACAAGGGUGACUCCCAGCUCAACCAGCAGCACGUAGCCAGGGAAGUUGUUUUGGCAACAGUUGGAAUCAUGUUUUCUGCCUUUUAUGUCCCUCAUAGUGCCAGAAUGUGGAGAACAUGAACAGGUAAUUUCAAGAGGAAGAAGAAGGUAUAACUGACAUUUGGGUCACUUAUGGCAUUUUUCAGUAGUUUCAGCUAUAUCCCAUGUAUGGAAUAAA